UUAGGGGACGAGAGUGAAAUGCAAGCUUGAUCUCACCUCUUGAAUACUGGUCAUUGAGCUUAACUUUUGCCCUAAAGAUGGAUGAUUGUCAGCCUUUUGUAGGACCUCAAGAAGGAUUUGAAGAAACUAGAUAUUUUUACCAGCAAAAUAAUUCACAGCACACAAAUGAUUGCACAGAAUUUCAGUGCUUUCAGAAGUCCUCUGGAAACCUUUUUGUGAACGCCAGUCUGUUGCAGGCUGGCCUGGUAGCUCUCCUACACCACUUCCCUUCCAGCGGCAACCCAGGGGCCAGGCUGCAUCCAGCUUAACACUGCCAUGUUGGAGUUGAGUGCUUUGUGUUUAAUCAGCUAGCCUUAGGAGAGAGUCAACAUGCAGAAGUCACACUUGAUUUUAACUGCUAUACCAGAAGGGACACCUCAUCUCCCCUACAUUCCAUUGGUGAGAACAUGGAAAUUUGAUGAACACUACUGGUUUUGGUCUCAGCCACUAUUUCCAUUUGUUCAAUAUCAUAUUUCUGCUCCUAUGGAUACAACGAUAGAGGCAGGAGGCAGAGAAAUUCUAGGCAGAAAGGGCGGGUCCCUGGCAAAUGCCCCACCCUCCAGCUGAAAAGCCUGAAACCGCAGCCAGAAGUGAGAACUUACAUCCCUGUUUUCCCACUUGAAUGUUGCCUUUUCCAAAACCACUCAUUGCCUGCCCUGCCCUCCAUCCUGGGCUUAUAAAAAACCUCAUACCCAGCUGACAGAGAGAGGAGAAGCAGCUGGACAUCAGAGACUAUAGCUGGAUGUCGGGGAGAAGCGGCUUGAUUCCAGAGGGACAGCUUGACCGUGUAACUUGGGAGAAGAAUCUGGUUGGAGACUCCUGGACUUCAGGAGAAGAUUACCUUCCAGCUCUGUCCCCUUUUCAGCUCCCCUUCCCACUGACAGCCAUGCCCAUCGGCAAUAAAAUUUCCCACAUUUACAAUCCUUCAAUUUGUUCAUGUGACCUCAUUCCUCCUGGACGCCACAGAAGAACUCAGGAACCACGAGUGCAGAUACAAAAGGCUGUCACACUGACCCUUUGCCCUCUCUGGCAAAAGGCAGCUGCCUCACACCAAAAGGUAGAGGGUCCACUGAGCUGUUAACACUUAAGCUGUCUGUGGACAGCAGCACUAAAAGAGCACUGUAACACUCCCUCUGGGACUUCAGGGGUCACAGGUACCCUCCCAGAUGUUGCUGUUGGGGCCUGCACAGACUUUGCUCCUGCUCACACCCAAAAGUGCUUGCCCUGGCUCCUGCACCUGCUCACCUGCAUGCGCCUUCCCACGAGGGGUGGAGCGCAGUGGCUCCAAGUGAGUGGAAUUUGCCACUGCCAGCACUGAAGUGGCUGGCUAGUUCCAGUGCCCGGGCACACAAUUUCCCACCUUAUUCGCUUGCGUGCUCCCUCCUGCGAGGAGUUGAGAACUGCAGGCUGAGGAAACAAGGCACCCCCUUUGUGAGUCCCAUGAAGGGGCCAGGGAAAUAUCCUGCUUCACUACCUCUUUGAAAGAGUGAAAU
rnacentral:lncRNA from 1 species